GAUGAAGAACGCAGCGAAAUGCGAUAAGUAAUGUGAAUUGCAGAAUUCAGUGAAUCAUCGAAUCUUUGAACGCACAUUGCGCCCUUUGGUAUUCCGAAGGGCAUGCCUGUUCGAGCGUCAUUAUCACCCCUCAAGCCCCCGGCUUGGUGUUGGACGGUUUGGCGGAGGCCCUCCGGGGCCCUUGCCCCUCCCAAAGACAAUGACGGCGGCCUCGUUGGACCCCCGGUACACUGAGUUCUUUACGGGACACGUACUGGAGUAAGGGUGCGCGGGGCACGGUCUGCCUCCCCUCAGGGAGAAUCUUUUUUUACAAGGUUGACCUCGGAUCAGGUAGGGAUACCCGCUGAACUUAAGCAUAUCAAUAAGCGGAGGA
rnacentral:misc_RNA from 1 species